rnacentral:tRNA from 1 species
GACACAGUGGCCUAAUGGUUAGUGCGUUGGACUCCGGAUCAAGUGGCCCGGAUUCGAGCGCUGGCCGGCAUUGUGUUG